UCAAUUUGCAAAUUAAUUCCGGUUCUGCAAUUUCUCAUUGGAGUCUGUUUUUGAAGUUUUUUCUGUUGGACAAUUACGACUUUUAGGUCUGCAGUUGAAGAAAUACGUUUUGCAUUUACUUCUG